rnacentral:lncRNA from 1 species
AAAUAUCUCUCUCGCCCCACACCCCACUCUCCCUCUCCGACCCCCCUCCUCAGAUCCCCUAGCUCAACGAGUGCCUCCAUGGCUCCGCCGCCGCGCACCACCGCGCCCAUUGGCCACCUCGAGCUGCACGGCUUGUCCAGGAGGACGGGCGUGCUCCUCUUCAUCGACCACACCCCGGGGUCGAGGCCGAGAAGCACCACCAGUGACGCCCGCGCCCGUUCCCCUCGUCGGCGUCCACCUCGGCCACCGGUUCGAUCCGCGGACGUCCGACCCUCGGCCCCCUCGACCUCGUCGCGACCCUCACUGUGAGCUCGCGCACCUCCCCUCUCUUCUCGUUUUACGCGCGUGCCCCUAGCUCUGAUUUUCCCCGCCGUUGCCGAACCUCGACGCAGCUACUGUCAAAGUUGCUGCUGGUGUUGUUUGUUGCAGCCGCCGUCGCCAUUACAAGGCACCCCAGCCGCUGCCGUUGAUGCAAAUCGACGCGUUGCAUCGCUGCGGUCCCGUAGCUUCUCCUCCCAGGCCAAAUGGUGGCCGGGAGCGCCGAUCCGCGUGUCGCCGAUGUUCCUGAAGCUCGUGACCGGCGCGCGCGUGCGUUUAAAACGUCGGCCUCGCCCGCGUGCCCCAUGCCCGUCCGUGCUCGCCCAGCCACCCGCUGUUGUUGCCUGCUUCCGCCACUGGCGCCGCGGUCGCUGUCUUCUGCGCCCGCACCGCGACCCAUCGUCACCCGCAGCGGCCCUUGCCCUGUGCUGCUGUUGCUCUCUGCGCCGAGGCUUCCAUGGCCUGCUUCCCUCACCCACCACGGCCUGCUGCCGCUGCUUAGCCGUAGCUGCUGCUGCUCAAACCUGCUGCUGCGUUGCUACCGAGUGUGCUGCGUGGUGUGUGUGCGUGUGUGUUCUGGUGUGUGGCUGGCUUUUACCACAGCCGUGUGUGUGGCCGGCCUUUUGCUAGCUUAGGGGCUAAUCCCCAACUAAAACAAGCCCCUUUGUUAGACUAGUUUAUAUUAGGCUUAGUUCUAGUUGUACCCUAUGACAUGUGGGCCAGCCCCUAUAAAACCAAAAAAAGGAACGAAAAAGGAAAUAAAAAAAUUAGAAAUUAAUCAAUUAAUUAAUUAGUAAUAUAAUUAAUUAACUUAAUUAAGAUGCUUAAUAACCUAAUUAACUAGAUUAGUUAAUCUAGUAUUAUUUAACUAAACUGUGUCUAUGACAGGUGGACCCCACCCGCUGUUGACCAGUCAAACAUUGACUGGUCAACUGGGACCCCCUGGACCCAUUGGUCAGCCCCUGGGUGCAUUCUGGGUGCACUACACGGGGUGCACUUAGCAGUUUUGCUAUUCUAAUUCAAAUUAAUAAUAAAUCCAGAAUAUUGUUUAAAUCUUUGAAAAAUCGUAGAAAUUAAAUCGUAGCUCGGAUGAAAAAGUUCUCUACAUGAAAGUUGCUCAGAAUUUCGAGACGAAUCCGGAUACGCGAUCCGUUCGUCGGCCACACGUCUCUAGCAUAGCCAACCUACAAACUUUCCCCUCCGGUUCAUCUGUCUAACAGACGUCCGGGACCAGGGAAACUUUCCCGGAUGUUUCCCCCUUCGCCAGUAUCUCCUAGCACUGAGUUAGAACACCUCUAUUGCCGCUUAUUGUCUUGUUAUGCUUAUGUUUGCGUGUAUUUACUGUUUCUUCCCCCUCUUCUUCUCCGGUAGACCUCGAGACCGCUGCUGAUGCCCCUGUGAUCAACUACAUCGACGACGACCCUUGUUCUGUUUCAGCAAAGCUUCCAGGCAAGCCCCCCCUUUGAUCAUCCCGAUAUCGCCCAUUCUAUACUCUCAUACUUGCAUUAGAUUUUGCUACUGUUAUUGAUUGCUCAUAUUCUGAUGCAUAGCCUGUUUUUGUAACCUGCUGUUGUACCUUACCUGCUUAUUCUAAACUGCUUAGUAUAGGUUGGUUAGUGAUCCAUCAGUGACCCCCACUUGUCUUUGUUGCCCCUGCUUCAUCAUCCACGACUCGAUCAACAUGAUCGACGACAGCCCGACACCUCACGUCACAUCACGCCCCUUUAGUUGCUCGACUCUGCAGAGCUACUAUCGAGUGCCGAGGGUGAUCCCUCAUAACGCACUCCUGAUGAUAAUUCUGUAGUGUAGCUAUUCGGUCGUGGUCAUCGAGGGUGAUUUCCUCUUUCACCAUUCCCAUUACGGCUCUGUUGUGCAACACCUCAAGUGUGAACCUUGAGGGUGGUCCCUCUUACGUUCACCUUGAUGAUUACAUUGAGUGGAAUCCAUUGGGGAUGAUUCCUCGGGUUUUUCCCUUGAUGUCUGGAUGCACAGUUACCUUGACUUCACUUGAGACCGUUGUGAAAGCCGGGCGGGCCCGGAGAGCACCCGUGCGAUGUGACAGUGGCGGCUGGCUGUUUAGCGGUAUCACCCAGAAGGGGUGAUAGCUCCGGACUUGUCCCGACAGCCGUCACUCCUUUUAAUAGUGCACUAACAUGUUUGGGUAUUUGUUCUGAGUUGGCCUUUGGCCUUUACACACUAACCACCACGCGAGGAUAGUUAUGGGUCUCAACGUCGCAGUAUCAGCCGAAGCUUUGUCAGACGUCCAGUUCAGCAGUGCGGCACGGUCGGAUCGUGCUGGCCGUCCGAGGCGGUACUGGUAUCCACCCUGCUCACAACGACCCGGAGUGCUGCGGGCGAUGGGCCCAAGACCCCGGAGUGCUUAGGUUGUAGACCGGCGGGGACCUCUCUGCUGAGCCUAGGUAGGGCUGCGACGUGUUGAUCUUCCGAGGGCGGGCAUUGACCCCAAAAAGGUGUGUCCGGCCAGAGUGAUCGAGCGUGUUGGGUAACGUGGUGCACCCCUGCAGGGAAGAUCUUUAUUCGAAUACCGUGUCCUCGAUAAUGGAUGUUCAGACUUGUAUCCUGAUCUUAUACAACUAGAAAUGGAUACUUGAUAUGUGAUGGAUAUGUGGCUCCGGGAUUGCUUUCUCGCAGGGAGUCGAGGAAGGAUCUCUGGGCAUUAAUGUUACAACAUGCCUGUUAAUUAUAAACUGCUAUUCUUUACUCUUCUACAUGCUGCAAGAUGCUCGAAGCUGCGUGAAGAUGCUAGUCUUCGAUAGGCUAGGCCUUCCCCCCUUAUUUUGGCAUUCUGCAGUUCAGUCCACAGAUACAUCCUUUUCAUUUGAUACCAAUGCAUACUUAGUAUAGAUCUGAUGCUUGCGAGUACUUUGGAUGAGUACUCACGGUUGCUUUGCUCCCCCUUUUAUCCCUUUCUUCCUUCUUUCCGGUUGUUGCAACCAGAUGGUGGAUCCCUGGAGCUGGAUGCCACCGCUGACGGAUUCUGCUACGUGGAGACCGCCGACGAUUGUUUGGAUUCUGCCCUUCUAGCAACCCUCUUGCUUUGAAGUUAAUGGUCGUCCGUUCAUUCUUAGACUAUUGAUUAUUGUAUCGCCAUUUCGAGAUUGGUCAUGCUCCCUAAGCCCAUAUUUUAGGUGCACCUUUCAACCAGUGUUUAAUGGUGUAUGUUUUCCUCGAGCAUACAUCAUUAUAUCAUUUGAUCUGACAAAUGUUAUCUCCUUGUUUAUAUAACUGUGGAAAUCCAUCUUUUUGAAAAAUCUCAAUGAGUUGAUGCUAAGUCCAUCAGCCACCUUCUCAUCCCCUCCUUGAUUUAAUGAUGAACUAUUGCUUCAGGAACCCGCUCCCGUAGUUCUUUUCCUGAGAAUCUUGCAUGUCAUUUCGUCGAUUUGUGUUGCACUUUUUCUUCUCGGACAUCCUGAGUCUGAGGUAUCAUGACACCAAUCGGAUCUGAAUCUCGGUCAGAUAUGAUGGUUGGGACAACUUUCCAGGAGUUAUGAUGUUGGUCCGUUGAUGACCCGGUAAGAUGAUGUCAUGCCUAGCAAUCCCCCUGGCUGGAGGACCUAUCAUUAUAAUUUCUUUUGUAAGGAUAACCAUUCUUCCUAAAGGAAAUUGUAAGACUUGUUUUAUAAGUUGCUCCUGAUGGAUCAUUUGUGUAU